rnacentral:rRNA from 1 species
GAUGAACGCUGGCGGCGUGCCUAAUACAUGCAAGUCGAGCGAACAGACGCGGACCUUGCUCCUCUGACGAUAGCGGCGGACGGGUGAGUAACACGUGGAUAACCUACCUAUAAGACUGGGAUAACCUCGGGAAACCGGAGCUAAUAAGGGAUAAUAUAUUGAUCAGCAUGGUUCAAUAGUGAAAGAGGGUUUUGCUGUCACUUAUAGAUGGAUCCCCGCCGCAUUAGUUAAUUGGUAAGGUAACGGUUUACCAGGGGAACGGUUCGUUGCCGACCAGAGAGAGGGAGGGUCCCUCGUGGAAUGUGGACACGGUCCAAACUCCGAAGGGAGGCACCGGUAGGAAACCUUCCGCAAGGGGCGGAAGGCUAACGUGGCAACGCCGCGUAAGUCAGGAGGGUCUUCGGAUCGUAAAACUCUGUUAUUAUGGAGGAGCAAAUGGCUAAGUAACUAUACGCGCCUUGACGGUACCUAAUCAGAAAGCCGCGGCUAACUACGCG